GAUGAACGCUGGCGGCGUGCCUAAUACAUGCAAGUCGAGCGAACGGACGAGAAGCUUGCUUCUCUGAUGUUAGCGGCGGACGGGUGAGUAACACGUGGAUAACCUACCUAUAAGACUGGGAUAACUUCGGGAAACCGGAGCUAAUACCGGAUAAUAUUUUGAACCGCAUGGUUCAAAAGUGAAAGACGGUCUUGCUGUCACUUAUAGAUGGAUCCGCGCUGCAUUAGCUAGUUGGUAAGGUAACGGCUUACCAAGGCAACGAUGCAUAGCCGACCUGAGAGGCUGAUCGGCCACACUGGAACUGAGACACGGUCCAGACUCCUACGGGAGGCAGCAGUAGGGAAUCUUCCGCAAAGGGCGAAAGCCUGACGGAGCAACGCCGCGUGAGUGAUGAAGGUCUUCGGAUCGUAAAACUCUGUUAUUAGGGAAGAACAUAUGUGUAAGUAACUGUGCACAUCUUGACGGUACCUAAUCAGAAAGCCACGGCUAACUACGUG
rnacentral:rRNA from 1 species